rnacentral:rRNA from 1 species
GAUGAACGCUGGCGGCGUGCCUAAUACAUGCAAGUCGAGCGAACAGAUAAGGAGCUUGCUCCUUUGACGUUAGCGGCGGACGGGUGAGUAACACGUGGGUAACCUACCUAUAAGACUGGGAUAACUUCGGGAAACCGGAGCUAAUACCGGAUAAUAUUUCGAACCGCAUGGUUCGAUAGUGGAAGAUGGUUUUGCUAUCACUUAUAGAUGGACCCGCGCCGUAUUAGCUAGUUGGUAAGGUAACGGCUUACCAAGGCGACGAUACGUAGCCGACCUGAGAGGGUGAUCGGCCACACUGGAACUGAGACACGGUCCAGACUCCUACGGGAGGCAGCAGUAGGGAAUCUUCCGCAAUGGGCGAAAGCCUGACGGAGCAACGCCGCGCGAGUGAUGAAGGUCUUCGGAUCGUAAAACUCUGUUAUUAGGGAAGAACAUACGUGUAAGUAACUGUGCACGUCUUGACGGUACCUAAUCAGAAAGCCACGGCUAACUACGUG